UUCCUCACUAGUUCUCAAAGCCCAGGUUUUGUUAUUUCUCAUAAAGAAACCAAAAUCCUGUGGUUCAGUCCUGGAUUUACACAGCCCAAAUGACAGGAUACUGAAGCAAGCAAGAGAGAGAAGCUGAUCACUCAUCCACUCCAUCAUCACCAUGCUCUUAAAGCUCUCUGUGUUUUUCAUUUCACAUCGUGUAUCAGUAAAAAUGUGGCAAUGACAAGAUACUAUUUCACUUUGUGAUACGAUGUGUUGGAAUAAAAAAAAGGAUGGAAAGUUUAUUGUCCUUCCAAGAAUAACAGACAUUUAUAUUUUGGAAAGAUGAGUUGUCUUUCAAACUUCACCAAGGAAUUAUAAAGAGUUAUGUCAGAACAUGGCAU
rnacentral:lncRNA from 1 species